rnacentral:rRNA from 1 species
GACAGAGGGGGCAAGCGUUGCUCGGAAUUACUGGGCGUAAAGGGCGCAUAGGCGGGAUGGCAAGUCGGUCGUGAAAUCCCUCGGCUCAACUGAGGAUCGUCGAUCGAUACUGCCGUUCUUGAGGAUUGCAGAGGAGACUGGAAUUCCCGGUGUAGCGGUGGAAUGUGUAGAGAUCGGGAGGAACACCGGUGGCGAAGGCGACAUCCUGGACCGGUAUUGACGCUGAGGCGCGAAAGCCAGGGGAGCAAACGGG